rnacentral:lncRNA from 1 species
UCAAAUACAAAAGCCAGCGGAAUAACUUAAAAACUUAACCAAACCAUCUACUAUCCUCAAUUCAAAACCAUCUUCUCACUCAUCACGAAUCAAUCCUGACUUCUGAAAAUUGAAUCACAAUAAACUAUAAUGAGUACAAAACCCAGUAAGCAAACUAGUUUUUCUUAUACGGAAAAUACAUACAGACUUAUACAUAAUGCAAUGGUUGAUAUGUCAUGAUCUUUUGGAAAUACUGUAAAAUAAAUUCAUAAAAAUCUCUUUCUGUCGCUUUCAAACUUUCUUAUUUUCUUUCGAUGAAAUACGUAUCCUACAAUGUGGCACUUUGUGCUGUACGUGGCACUUUGCGGCGCCCUGGCCCUCAAGAGGUGGCCCCCGCAUAGUCCCAAGAGGUGACCCCCACACAACUUCAAGAGGUGGCCCCCAAUGCAAAAUCUCAUAAAACAUAAAUUCUGUUUGCUAAAAUCCACUUUCUCAUUCGUAGAAAACUCAAUGCAUUUUCGUGCUCAUGCCAAUGAACCAUCACACAUACAUAUGCCCAUGUACAUAAUCACGCUCAACACAUGCCAACACAUCACAUAAACACAUGGGCAAAGACAUCUAAAUCCAUAUCCGUAUAUAUAUCAAAAUAUGCUUUUCACACAAGUCAAACAUAUAUAUUGUUUAGUGUGAUUCGUUUUAAAGUCUAGUUUACUUACCUCUUGGCAUCCUCAUGUAACAAAUGCGUACUGAUACCAUUAACCUAAAAUCAUCAAUAACGCCUCAUAAGAUAUAAUCAAAUCUCAAUCACAAACUGUAAUGUCCUCAAAUAUCUCAAUUUAAACAACUCCUAAGCUCAACCUCAAAUGUCCUCAAUAAUCGGCCCUCAAAACAUAAAUCCUUUACAAAUACUCUUUAUCAGUUGUAAAGAGUUAUUUAAAUUAUAUGUGAGUUGUAGACAUAUUUGCCCUUGGAUUUCAGACUGGGGUGUUUCAAAUGGUAUCAGACCGAUUCCCAUCCGAUAAAAUUGGAACGAUACAGAGAAGAUUAGCAUAAUUCGUAACAUAAUUCCUUCAAAAACUAUUGAAAAUAAUUCACGUUUCAGACAUCAUCAAUACUGUCAAACAGUUUUCUGUUUUGAACACACUUGCUUUACAAAUACAAAACAAUUUAUUGCUUUAUCAUAAAAUCAUGAAAAUUUCCAGAAUCAUACUAGACAUAUAUAAAAAGCAUUGGUCCAAAUUUCAUAAUUUUUGAAGAAGUCUAACUAUGGUAAAAAUAAUUUCGUAAUUCACGUUAUUCACUGAAAUCAUAAAUUUCCAGGUUUUCAGACUUGAAUUUGAAAAAUCAUAAUUAAUUGAAAUCUUAUCCGAUUAACUUGAAACAAGUUUCAAAACAUUCUAGACGAUGUCUAGUUUAACAUACCCAAAAAUCAGAAUCAAAAUCAAUUUGUACAAAUUACUAUGAUUUCUGUAAUAAUUCGCUGUCAGCAUAUUUAUGUAAAAUCUUUGAUUUCUACUUCUAUUACAAUCAUGCUUCUCCACAACAAUUUAAUAGAAACCAAUAAUUAAAACGUACCUCCAAAACUUCUCCCAACAAUAACAACUUGAUCCCAUGUGUUGUCUAUGGCAAAAACUAAGAAGAAGAAGAAGACUUUCUUCUUCUCUUUUUUUCUUUUCUUUUCUCUCUUGUCUCUCCAUCUCUCUUUUUCAACCGAUCUCUCUUUUU